GCUUAACACAUGCAAGUCGAGCGCCCCGCAAGGGGAGCGGCAGACGGGUGAGUAACGCGUGGGAAUCUACCUUUUGCUACGGAAUAACGCAGGGAAACUUGUGCUAAUACCGUAUGUGUCCUUCGGGAGAAAGAUUAUCGGCAAGAGAUGAGCCCGCGUUGGAUUAGCUAGUUGGUGGGGUAAAGGCCUACCAAGGCGACGAUCCAUAGCUGGUCUGAGAGGAUGAUCAGCCACAUUGGGACUGAGACACGGCCCAAACUCCUACGGGAGGCAGCAGUGGGGAAUAUUGGACAAUGGGCGCAAGCCUGAUCCAGCCAUGCCGCGUGAGUGAUGAAGGCCCUAGGGUUGUAAAGCUCUUUCACCGGAGAAGAUAAUGACGGUAUCCGGAGAAGAAGCCCCGGCUAACUUCGUGCCAGCAGCCGCGGUAA
rnacentral:rRNA from 2 species